GGGUUCGUGCCUCGUUGCGCAGGGCAUUCGAUCAACAAUUUUGAAGCUAUUCUCUGCAGUUCCGCUCAACCCAUCGUUGAUCUCUACGCUCUCGUGCAAUUGGUGUGUUGUGCGCGAUCGGCUUGCUCUAGAAGUAGUUGUGUAUUGUGGGUUUUGAUCAGUGAAGGAGGGUUGCGUGUGUUUUUUUUUAUCCGUUUGUUGUAAAAGAUGACGACCUCGAAGAGGCUUGCGGACAAGAAGAGCGCUAAGUUCCAGAAGAACGUGCACAGGAGGGGCAGUGUCCCAGAGACGACGAUUAAGAAGAAGAACCAGUAUCCUGUUGGUCCGAUGGUGCUCGGCCUGUUUGUUUUCGUCGUCAUUGGGUCUUCUCUCAUCCAGAUCCUCCGCACUGCUACCACCGGCGCCAUGGCGUGAUGAGGUGAUGGCGUGGAUAGCGAUUUUUUAGUGCAGUAUACACGGCUAUGCGGUUAUUUGUUUUAGGAGCUUAUGUCAUGAGGAAACCGCGCCGUAAUGGUUUCGAGGGUUUUCAUGGAGUGCUCAAUUGUCGUAGCCUCCUUGUCCGAUGAUUGAUCUCUUAUGUAAACUUUGAUAAUCUCAAUCUUAAUAUUGCCGUGUCUUACGGCACUUCCAUACUUGUUGAAA